rnacentral:rRNA from 1 species
UACGUAGGGUGCGAGCGUUUGUCCGGAAUUAUUGGGCGUAAAAGGGGCUCGUAGGCGGUCUGUCGCGUCGGGAGUGAAAAACUCAGGGCUUAACCCUGAGCCUGCUUCCGAUACGGGCAGACUAGAGGUAUGCAGGGGGAGAACGGAAUUCCUGGUGUAGCGGUGGAAAUGCGCAGAUAUCAGGAGGAACACCGGUGGCGAAGGCGGUUCUCUGGGCAUUACCUGACGUGAGGCACGAAGGCCAGGGGGAGCAAAACGGG